rnacentral:piRNA from 1 species
AAGAAUAUCAGCAUUUUGCGUUGG